AGCGGCGAACGGGUGAGUAACACAUCGGAACGUACCCACUUGUGGGGGAUAACGAAUCGAAAGAUUCGCUAAUACCGCAUAAGACCUGAGGGUGAAAGCGGGGGACCGAAAGGCCUCGCGCGAGUGGAGCGGCCGAUGUCGGAUUAGCUAGUUGGUGAGGUAAAGGCUCACCAAGGCGACGAUCCGUAGCGGGUCUGAGAGGACGACCCGCCACACUGGAACUGAGACACGGUCCAGACUCCUACGGGAGGCAGCAGUGGGGAAUUUUGGACAAUGGGCGCAAGCCUGAUCCAGCCAUUCCGCGUGAGUGAAGAAGGCCUUCGGGUUGUAAAGCUCUUUCGGCAGGAACGAAACGGUCUCUCCUAAUACGGGGGGCUAAUGACGGUACCUGAAGAAGAAGCACCGGCUAACUACGUGCCAGCAGCCGCGGUAAUACGUAGGGUGCGAGCGUUAAUCGGAAUUACUGGGCGUAAAGCGUGCGCAGGCGGUUUUGUAAGACAGAUGUGAAAUCCCCGGGCUUAACCUGGGAACUGCGUUUGUGACUGCAAGACUUGAGUGCGGCAGAGGGGGGUGGAAUUCCACGUGUAGCAGUGAAAUGCGUAGAGAU
rnacentral:rRNA from 1 species